CCCUUCCCGGUACGGGACCCCCACCUUCGCUCCCGGGAGCCCCGCUGCACCCCAGAGUUCCAUUCCUGCUUCCCCAGUGCGAGUGCGGCCGAGCGCUGACUUUUGGGGGCUCCCUUCCCCGUCUCACUGGGUCCCUCUGCGGCUCCCCCGCCCGCUGUCCCGCCUCAGACGUGGCUGCACCCCGGAGCGGGGCGCCGGCCGAGUCCUGAGACGUGGCGAUGCCGCUCUGCCGGCCUCGGCUCCAGUGCUUGAAUUUCAGCCACAUCCCUAAGCUGCCAUCUCAGACCAGAGGAACAGGGAGGGGGCUUUCUGGAAAGAACAUCACCUGGAAGAAAUCAGGACAUGACUGUGGGCCAUGAGUGACCUUCAAGGAAAGCCAGGUCUGGAUUCCCACCUGGAAGUUGAUUGUGAUGGUGGAAAUACCAGGCACUUGUCGGGUGCGACGGCUCGUGCCUGUAAUCCCAGCACUUUGGGAGGUCGAGCAGGAGAAUGUGAUUCCUUACUGAUAGAGGGAAUUCAGUUCCUCCAGGUCUGGCAGCCCUGAAGCUUCAUCCCUCAACAUUGCGGCCUAUGCAGCCAGUGCCCCUCCCCCUUUCUCCCACCCGGCUUUCCCAUCUGCAACCAAGCUUGUUGCACACCAUGUGCCAGACGUACGGCUGCACAUUCAAAAGAGAAUGAAAAGACACACAGAGGCGAUCCCUGCCCUUUCAGAAGUUACAGCUUACCGAGUUACAGCUUACUGAGUUAUGGAACCCACAAUUCUGGAGGCUGGAAAGUUCAAGAUCAAGGCACCAGCAGGUGAAGGCAGAGUCUCUGCUUCCAAGAUGGUGCCUCGUUUCUGCGUCCUCUGGAGGAGAGGAACACUGUGUCCACACAUGGCUGAAGAGCUGGAUGGAGAAAAGGGCCCAGCUAAUUCCCUCCAGCCCUUUUACAAGCCGCUAAUCCCACUUACGAGAUCACAGCCCUUACAGCCUAAUCACCUCCGAAAGGCCCCACCUCUUAAUACUGUUGGAUUGAGAAUUAACUUUCAACAUGAAUUUUUGGGAGGAUACAGUCAAACCAUAGCAUUCUUCCCCUGCCCCCUCGAAAUUCAUGUCCUCAUAUACAAAAUUCAUCCCAAAAUUGAUAACUUAUUGCCAAAAUUCUUAACGUGUUCCAGCAUUAACUUUAAAGUCUUAAGUCCAAGGUCUCAUUUAAACAUGAUCUAUAUCAGAUACAGCUGAGACUGAAGGUACAAUUCAUCCUAAGGCAAACUCCUCCAGCUCUGAGCCUAUGAAAUCAAACAAGUGAUGUGCUUCCAAAAUACGGUAGUGGUACAGGCAUAGGAUAACAUUCCCAUUCAGGAAGGGAGAAAUGGGCAAGAAGAAAGUGUCACAGGCCCCAUGGAAGUCCAAAACCCAACAAGGCAAACUGUUAAAUCUUGAGGUUUGAGAAUGGUCUUUUUUGAGUCCAUGUUCAUCCGUACACACUGGGGCAAGGGUUGGACAUCCAAGGGUCCAACCAGCCCUACCCCCAUGGCUUUGCUGGGCACAGCCCAUGCUGUAGCUCUCACAAGUUGGAGUCUAGUGCCUGUAGCUCUCCUAGGCUGGCAUUGCACACUGGUGGCUCUACCAGUUUGGGAUCUCGGGGGCAACCCUGACCCCACAGCUCUGCUGGUCAUUACCCUAGUAGGCACCCUCUGCACCUAUCUCACCUUUGGGACAGUGCUCUGGGCUCUGGGCUCUCCAAGACAUCUUUUGAAAUCUACAUGGAGAUAGCCAUGACUCCACAGCUCAUACACUCUAUAUAAAUGCAGAGUUGGCACUUCAAGAAUGUCACCAAGGCUUAUUACUUGUACCUUUCAGAAGGGUGGCCCAAGCCACAUCUGAGCCCACUUGAGCCCCAGCUGGAGCAGCUAAAAAGCACUGUGUUAGAAUGCGGAGAACAAAUAUCUGAGGAGGCCGCAGGCAGUGAGCCCUGAGGUGCCACAGGUGCCCUGGGCCCCUCCCUUGAAACCUUUCUGACUUGAAGGCCCUGGUACUCUGGGAUCAUGGUGGGAGCGGCAGCCUCAAAGACUGAAAUGACUCUGGAAUCAUUCUUCUAUUGUCUGGAUAAAUAGCGUCUGGCUUCCUUAUAGCCACACUAAUAUCAUAUCAAACGUUAUGUUUGCUUAGCCAUGCCCUUGGUAUUCUCUGAAUAUUCAUUUGCAAUUACUAUUCAGAGGGCUGAGCAUGCCCUUUGAACCUUUACAACCUGGAAAGACUGAAAAUUUUCCAUAUCUUUAAGUUCUACUUCCCUUUUUAUUGUAAAUUCAUUUUUAAUUCAUUUCUCUUCUCUUGCAUUUUAUGAUAAACAGUCAAGAAAAGCCAUGUAGUACCUUGAACACUUUGCUUAGAGAUUUCUUUCACCAAAUAUCCUAGUAUAUCACUCUUAAAUUCUGCCCUCCACGGAGCACUAGAAUGCAGACACAAUUCAGCCAAGUUCUUUGCCACUUUAUAACAAAGAUAGCCUUUCCUCCAGUUUCCAGAACAUUUCCAUCUGACACCUCACCAAAAUGACCUUUAGCAUCCAUAUUUCUACCAACAUUUUGAUUACAAUCUUUUACAUAAUCUCCAAGAAGACUGAGGCUCUGUCUAUAACUCUUCUUCUGAGCCUUUACCUUUGACAGUCCAUUUAUGGAAAUCUAGGCUUUUUCUAGCCUACUUUGCCAAACUCAGCCUCUACCCAUUACCCAGUUCCAAAGUUGCUUCCACAUUUUCAGGUAUUCACUACAGCAGCACCCCACUACUCAUUACCAAUUUCUGUUUUAGUUCAUUCCAGGUUGCUAUAACAAAAACCUUAAGCUGGUUACUUUAUAAAUAAUAGAAAUAUAUUUCUCAUGGUUCUGAAGACUGAGAAGUCCAAGAUCAAAUCACCAGUAGGUUCAGUAUCUGGUCAUUGCUUCCAAGGCAAAAUUAAUCCUUAUUUUAUUAUCAGCAUUCCAGUGAAUAGAAGAAUCAUAGGCCAAAUACUAACAAAUUCAAGGAUGUUUUAUCAUUAGAAAAUAUGCUAAUAUAAAUCACCUCAUCAACAAAUUUUUAAAAAACCAUAUGAUUAUUUCAAUAGCUGCAGAAUAUGUUUUGAUAAAAUUAAACAUGUGUUUGUCAUUCAAAAAAAAAAAACCUCUUAGCUAACUAGUAAUAGAAGGGAAUUUACCUAAAUUGACAGACUAUCUACCAAAAAAAAAAAAAAA
rnacentral:lncRNA from 1 species